rnacentral:ribozyme from 13 species
GUAAAAAAAAAAAAAAAAAAAAAAAAAAAAAAAA